rnacentral:rRNA from 1 species
AUGCGCCCGACGGUCGUCACGGCCUCCUCACAGAACAGGGCGCCGGGGCCCGAUCUGCUUCGCACCAUCCCUGGAGCCCAACUAGUCGACUGCCGCCGGUGCACAGCCCACGCGCCGCCGAGAAGCUGGCUCCCGCCUAACCCAUCUCCUCUGCCGCAGCACCAAGCAAGAGACGGCGGCCCUCUUCAGAUCCAGCAGGGGCCUGCCCUGGUGCGGUGCGCCUGCGACCCGCACGGCCAGCGCAUGGCCCAGGCCGCAGCCAUCCCUGCCUCACUGCCCGCGCCGCACAGCCGAGGAGCUCCGCCAUCGCGCCCAACUCGCCAGAUCCGCGCCCUUCCCCGAGCCGCCAGAUCCGUAGCCUCGCCGGCACAGCCAAGCUUCGCCGCCCUACGCGCGCCUCCCCGCGCUCGAACGCGGCCGCCCCAGCCCGUGCGCGCACCGGCGCGGGAGCUGCGCCCUGGAUCCCGCCGAGAUGGGCAGCCCGCACUGCUGGAGCUCAGACGGGAGGAGGGAGUGCCCCGCCGCCGCCGAGCCGCGCAGGCUUUGCCCGGCGACGUCUGCCGGCGGCGGCGAGGGGAAGCUGACCGGUGGAUCUGCGCUGGCGGCGGCAAGGUUUUCGCCCCCCUGGCCGCCCGCGGGAGCGACCGGAGGACCAAAGAAUCCUUCUACUCUACUGUAUGCAGUUCAGCUGCGCCCUCCUCUGUCUUCAGUUGGCUGGACACCCUCCCAGCGAUCUUGUGA